GUCCUCGUAGUUCAAUGGAUAGAACGAAAGCCUUCUAAGCUUUAGAUCUAGGUUCGAUUCCUAGCGGGGGCACAA
rnacentral:tRNA from 2 species